UUCUUGUGAAAGAAGCGAAGAACAGGGAA
rnacentral:piRNA from 1 species